AACGAACGCUGGCGGCAUGCCUAACUCAUGCAAGUCGAGCGCCUGUAGCGAUACGGGAGCGGCGCACGGGUGAGUAACGCGUGGGAACCUGCCCUUAGGUUCGGGACAACCGCGGGAAACUGCGGCUGAUACCGGAUGAAGUCCCCGAUAGAGAUAUUGGGGCCCAAAGAUUUAUCGCCUUUGGAGGGGCCCGCGUCGGAUUAGGUAGUUGGUGGGGUAACGGCUCACCAAGCCUGUGAUCCGUAGCUGGUCUGAGAGGAUGAUCAGCCACACUGGGACUGAGACACGGCCCAGACUCCUACGGAAGGCAGCAGUGGGGAGUAUUGGACAAUGGGGGCAACCCUGAUCCAGCAAUGCCGCGUGGGUGAUGAAGGCCUUCGGGUUGUAAAGCCCUUUCGGCGGGGACGAUGAUGACGGUACCCGCAGAAGAAGCCCCGGCUAACUUCGUGCCAGCCGCCGCGGUAAUAC
rnacentral:rRNA from 1 species